rnacentral:rRNA from 1 species
AGUGGCGGACGGGGGAGUAACGCGUGGGUAACCUGCCUCAUACAGGGGGAUAACAGUUAGAAAUGACUGCUAAUACCGCAUAAGACCACAGCACCGCAUGGUGUAGGGGUAAAAACUCCGGUGGUAUGAGAUGGACCCGCGCCUGAUUAGGUAGUUGGUGGGGUAACGGCCUACCAAGCCGACGAUCAGUAGCCGACCUGAGAGGGUGACCGGCCACAUUGGGACUGAGACACGGCCCAA